AGGCCUCUUCAGGCUAGGCUAGGCUUCUCUAGGCCUCUUCAGGCUAGGCUAGGUCAGGCUUCUCUAGGCUAGGUCAGGCUUCUCUAGGCCUCUUCAGGCUAGGCUAGGUCAGGCUUGUCUAGGCCUCUUGAUGCUAGGUUAGACUUCUCUAGAUCCCCUGCUAGGUCUUCGCCAAAGCCCGCCCGUUACACCUGAGGUUUAAUUAUGCGUUAAGUCGAACUAAAAGGUCUCCAAUCCCUCGGAGACCAUGACAAGGUCGUGAUGAAAUAAAAAAAACACUAGGUUGUGAGAGUUUGUCGCUUAUGUAAAAAAAUGUACUUGGGUUGCCCGCAGGGGGCCCGGCCUAGUGAGGCCUUGCAAGGCUCCUGUAGGCCUCACAAGGCCUCGCUAAGCCUCGCUAGGUCUCACUAGGCCUAGUUUGGCCUAUCUAGGCCUCGUAAGGCCUAAACUAGGUCUCACUAGGCCUAGUUUGGCCUAUCUAAGCCUCACGAGGCCUAAGCAAGGCCUCGCUAGGCCUAAACUAGGUCUCGCUAGGCCUAGUUUGGCCUAUCUAGGCCUCACGAGGCCUAAAUUAGGCCUCGAUAGGUCUCGCUAGGCCUAGUUUGGCCUAUCUAGGCCUCACAAGGCCUAAAGUAGGCCUCGCUAGGUCUAAACAAGGCCUCGCUAGGCCUACUUUGGCCUAUCUGGGCCUCGCAAGGCCUUGCUUAGGCCUUACGAGGCCUAGAUAGGCCAAACUAGGCACAGUGAGACCUAGCAAGGCCUAAGCAAGGCCUCGCAAGGCCUUGCUUAGGCCUCGCGAAUAGGCCAAACUAGGCCUAGUGAGACCUAGCAAGGCCUAAGCAAGGCCUUGCUUAGGCCUCGCGAGGCCUAGAUAGGCCAAACUAGGCCUAGUGAGACCUAGCGAAGGCCUUGCUUAGGCCUCGCGAGGCCUAGAUAGGCCAAACUAGGCCUAGUGAGACCUAGCGAGGCCUAAGCAAGGCCUAAGCAAGGCGUUGCUUAGGCCUCGCGAGGCCUAGAUAGGCCAAACUAGGCCUAGUGAGACCUAGCGAGGCCUUGCUUAGGCCUCGCUAGGUCACCAAUGAAACGGCAUGAACUUUGACUUUUGAUUUAAAGCUUUCGUGACUGCAGAGAUUCCUAUUCUCGGUUCUUUCGGCAAAAAGUCGCCGCCACCACGUUAGAAGAAGGGAAACAAUAAAAUAACAAAUAAAAAAAAUAUAAAACGAUAAAUUAGUUUAAAAAAAAACAAUAAAAAACAUUAAAAUAUUUUAUUGGUUUAUAUUUUUAUUUUAUUUUUUAUUUUAUUGUUUCCCUUCUUCUAACGUGGCGGUGACUUUAGCGAAAAGCAUCUCGAUGAAGAAGAAUACCGGCGUCGGAUUUUGCGUUGAACCGGGGCGGGGUUUUUGCACUGAAAUAUGAUCACCGCUGUAGAUGCACCUCGCUACUAUAUAUAGAGAGAGGCAUAUAUAUAGAUAAGAGAUAUACAUAACUCACUGAGAUACACACACAGAGAUACACACACUGGUAUAUAUAUAGAGAGACAUAUAUAGAUAAGAGAUAUACACAACUCACUGAGAUACACACACAGAGAUACACACACUGGUAUAUAUAUAGAGACAUAUAUAUAGAUAAGAGAUAUACAUAACUCUGGCAUACUGAGAUACACACACAGAGAUACACACACACACUGGUAUAUAUAUAGAGAGACAUAUAGAGAUAAGAGAUAUACACAACUCACAUACUGAGAUACACUGAGAUACACACACUGGUAUAUAUAGACAUAUAUAGAUAAGAGAUAUACAUAACUCACACUGGUAUACUGAGAUACACACACAGAGAUACACACACAGAGAUACACACACAGACACACGCUGGUAUAUAUAGAGACAUAUAGAGAUAAGAGAUAUACACAACUCACAUACUGAGAUACACACACAGAGAUACACACACAGAGACACACACACUGGUAUAUAUAGAGAGACAUAUAUAUAGAUAAGAGAUAUACAUAGCUCACACUGAGAUACUGAGAUACACACACAGAGAUACACACACACACAGACACACACUGGUAUAUAUAUAGAUAUAUAGAUAAGAGAUAUACAUAGCUCACACUGAGAUACUGAGAUACACACACAGAGAUACACACACACAGACACACACUGGUAUAUAUAGAGACAUAUAUAGAGAUAAGAGAUAUACAUAGCUCACACUGGUAUACUGAGAUACACACACAGAGAUACACACAGAGAUACACACACAGAGACACACACACAGGUAUAUAUAGAGAGAUAUAUAUAGAUAAGAGAUAUACAUAACUCACACUGGUAUACUGAGAUACACACACAGAGAUACACACACAGACACACGCUGGUAUAUAUAUAGAGACAUAUAGAGAUAAGAGAUAUACACAACUCACACUGAGAUACACACACAGACACGUAUAUAUAUAGAGAGACAUAUAUAUAGAUAAGAGAUAUACAUAGCUCACACUGAGAUACACACACAGAGAUACACACACAGACACACACUGGUAUAUAUAGAGACAUAUAGAGAUAAGAGAUAUACAUAACUCUGGCAUACUGAGAUACACACACACACUGGUAUAUAUAUAGACAUAUAGAGAUAAGAGAUAUACACAACUCACACUGAGAUACACACACAGAGAUACACACAGAGAUACACACACUGGUGUAUAUAUAUAGAGAGACAUAUAUAUAGAUAAGAGAUAUACAUAACUCUGGCAUACUGAGAUACACACACAGAGAUACACAUACACACACUGAUAUAUAUAGAGACAUAUAUAUAGAUAAGAGAUAUACAUAACUCACACUGGUAUACUGAGAUACACACACAGAGAUACACACACAGAGAUACACACACAUGCUGGUAUAUAUAGAGAGACAUAUAGAGAUAGAUAUAGACAACUCACAUACUGAGAUACACACACACUGGUAUAUAUAGAGAGAGACAGAGAUAAGAGAUAUACACAACUCAUACUGAGAUACACACAGAGAUACACACACACUGGUAUAUAUAUAGAGACAUAUAGAGAUAAGAGAUAUACACAACUCAUACUGAGAUACACACAGAGAUACACAUACACUGGUAUAUAUAUAGAGACAUAUAGAGAUAAGAGAUAUACACAACUCAUACUGAGAUACACACAGAGAUACACACACAUGCUGGUAUAUAUAGAGAGACAUAUAGAGAUAGAUAUAGACAACUCACAUACUGAGAUACACACACACUGGUAUAUAUAGAGAGAGACAGAGAUAAGAGAUAUACACAACUCAUACUGAGAUACACACAGAGAUACACACACACUGGUAUAUAUAUAGAGACAUAUAGAGAUAAGAGAUAUACACAACUCAUACUGAGAUACACACAGAGAUACACACACACAGACACACACUGGUAUAUAUAUAGAGAGACAUAUAGAGAUAAGAGAUAUACAUAACUCACACUGAGAUACACACACAGAGAUACACACACAGAGAUACACACACAGACACACUGGUAUAUAUAGAGACACAUAGAGAUAAGAGAUAUACACAACUCUGGCAUACUGAGAUACACACAGAGAUACACACACGCUGGUAUAUAUAUAGAGAUGUACAUACAGAUACUUCCACACGGUAUAUAGAGAUGCAUACACUGGUAUCCAGAGAGAGUUGUACACAGACACUAGGUGUAUCUGUGUGUGUGUGUCUGAGCCAAGCUUUAUCUUGCUUGUGUUGUGUUAUUAAUCAGCCGUUCAUUAUGCUAUUGCCAAUAAAGUUACACAAAUACAAA